rnacentral:rRNA from 1 species
AUUGAACGCUGGCGGAAUGCUUUACACAUGCAAGUCGAGCGGCAGCACGGGGGCAACCCUGGUGGCGAGCGGCGAACGGGUGAGUAAUACAUCGGAACAUGCCCAGUCGUGGGGGAUAACACUUCGAAAGAAGUGCUAAUACCGCAUACGUCCUGAGGGGGAAAGCGGGGGAUCGCAAGACCUCGCGCGAUUGGAGUGGCCGAUGUCAGAUUAGCUAGUUGGUGGGGUAAAGGCCUACCAAGGCAACGAUCUGUAGCUGGUCUGAGAGGAUGAUCAGCCACACUGGGACUGAGACACGGCCCAGACUCCUACGGGAGGCAGCAGUGGGGAAUUUUGGACAAUGGGGGCAGCCCUGAUCCAGCCAUUCCGCGUGAGUGAAGAAGGCCUUCGGGUUGUAAAGCUCUUUCGGCAGGAACGAAAAGGUGAGCUCUAACAUAGCUUGCUAAUGACGGUACCUGAAGAAGAAGCACCGGCUAACUACGUG